GUGCUUGCUUCAGCAGCACAUAUACUAAAAUUAGAAUAAUAUAGAGAUUAACAUGGCUCCUGCGCAAGGAUAACAUGCAAACUCGUGAAGCGUUCCAUAUUUAU